UAUCUUUGCUACAUAUAUACUCGUGUAACUUAUAUAUAAAUACGCUUCUGAAGAUUUGUGGUAGCAUUAUACGAUUACUUAUUGCUGAAGUAGCUGCUAUUCAAACUUCGGAUUUUUUAGAAUUCCGUUACCCUUACCUACGAACAAACGGGCGAUUCUUUAUUUUAACUAUACCCACAUAGUCUAGACUCUGGAGUAGACUAGACUACAGAACCAGACACUAAUACAUAUGUUAUUCGGUGAUGACCGUAUAAGUGUCCAUAUCGAUCAAGUAAUAAGCAUUUAUACGGAUAUUUUCUCUACUAAUUUUGACUGUAAUUGUUGUUCAGUUGAUUAGUACAAAAUAGUGCUCCAGGUGAGGCUCGAACUCACAACCUCCGCAUUUCUCCGAUACUGUUAUAUAAGUACGGCGCGCUAACCGAUUGCGCCACUGGAGCUGACGCUGAUUUUCUAAAAUGAGACAAAAUAUUGAUAGACUU